rnacentral:rRNA from 1 species
UACGUAGGGUGCGAGCGUUGUUCGGAAUUACUGGGCGUAAAGGGCUCGUAGGCGGCCAACUAAGUCAUACGUGAAAUCCCUCGGCUUAACCGGGGAACUGCGUCUGAUACUGGAUGGCUUGAGUUCGGGAGAGGGAUGCGGAAUUCCAGGUGUAGCGGUGAAAUGCGUAGAUAUCUGGAGGAACACCGGUGGCGAAGGCGGCAUCCUGGACCGAUACUGACGCUGAGGAGCGAAAGCCAGGGGAGCAAACGGG